rnacentral:rRNA from 1 species
AAUCCGUUAACGAGGAACAAUUGGAGGGCAAGUCUGGUGCCAGCAGCCGCGGUAAUUCCAGCUCCAAUAGCGUAUAUUAAAGUUGUUGCAGUUAAAAAGCUCGUAGUUGAACUUCAGACCUGACCGGGCGGUCCGCCUAACGGUGUGUACUGUCUGGCCGGGCCUUACCUCUUGGUGAGCCGGCAUGCCCUUCACUGGGUGUGUCGGGGAACCAGGACCUUUACCUUGAGAAAAUUAGAGUGUUCAAAGCAGGCUUACGCCGGAAUACAUUAGCAUGGAAUAAUAAAAUAGGACGUGCGGUUCUAUUUUGUUGGUUUCUAGAGUCGCCGUAAUGAUUAAUAGGGAUAGUUGGGGGCAUUUGUAUUGCGUUGCUAGAGGUGAAAUUCUUGGAUUUACGCAAGACAAACUAUUGCGAAAGCAUUUGCCAAGGAUGUUUUCAUUAAUCAAGAACGAAGGUUAGGGGAUCGAAAACGAUCAGAUACCGUUGUAGUCUUAACAGUAAACUAUGCCGACUAGGGAUCGGACGACCUCAAUAUUAUGCGUCGUUCGGCACCUUACGAGAAAUCAAAGUCUUUGGGUUCUGGGGAGUAUGGUCGCAAGGCUGAAACUUAAAGGAAUUGACGGAAGGGCACCACCAGGAGUGGAGCCUGCGGCUUAAUUUGACCCAACACGGGGAAACUCACCAGGUCCAGACAUAACUAGGAUUGACAGAUUGAUAGCUCUUUCUUGAUUUUAUGGGUGGUGGUGCAUGGCCGUUCUUAGUUGGUGGAGUGAUUUGUCUGGUUAAUUCCGAUAACGAACGAGACCUUAACCUGCUAAAUAGCCUGGCCGGCUUUUGCUGGUCACUGGCUUCUUAGAGGGACUGUCAGCGUCUAGCUGACGGAAGUUUGAGGCAAUAACAGGUCUGUGAUGCCCUUAGAUGUUCUGGGCCGCACGCGCGCUACACUGACAGAGCCAGCGAGCUUUUUUUCCUUGGCCGGAAGGUCAUGGGUAAUCUUGUGAAACUCUGUCGUGCUGGGGAUAGAGCAUUGCAAUUACUGCUCUUCAACGAGGAAUUCCUAGUAAGCGUGAGUCAUCAGCUCGCGUUGAUUACGUCCCUGCCCUUUGUACACACCGCCCGUCGCUACUACCGAUUGAAUGGCUUAGUGAGACCUCCGGAUUGGCUUUGGGGAGUCGGCAACGACACCCCGUUGCUGAAAAGUUGGUCAAACUUGGUCAUUUAGAGGAAGUAAAAGUC